AAAUGAAUAGACGGGGACCCGCACAAGCAGCGGAGCAUGUGGUUUAAUUCGAAGCAACGCGAAGAACCUUACCAGAGCUUGACAUCCUCCUGACCGGGGAAGUAACGUUCCCCUUCUUUUCGGAGCAGGAGAGACAGGUGGUGCAUGGUUGUCGUCAGCUCGUGUCGUGAGAUGUUGGGUUAAGUCCCGCAACGAGCGCAACCCUUGCUGCUAGUUGCCAUCAUUAAGUUGGGCACUCUAGCAGGACUGCCGGGGAUAACCCGGAGGAAGGCGGGGAUGACGUCAAAUCAUCAUGCCCCUUAUGUUCUGGGCGACACACGUGCUACAAUGGCCGGCACAAAGAGCAGCGAAAGAGCGAUCUGAAGCGAAUCUCCAAAGCCGGUCCCAGUUCGGACUGCAGGCUGAAACCCGCCUGCACGAAGUCGGAGUUGCUAGUAAUCGCGGAUCAGCAUGCCGCGGUGAAUGCGUUCCCGGGUCUUGUACACACCGCCCGU
rnacentral:rRNA from 1 species